CCAAACUCUUAUCUUUGGCGGGGUGGAUCACAUUAGCAAGGUCAGUACUUAUUGCGAUACCAAAUUAUUUUAUGUAGAUUGUUUUAGUUCUACUUUCCUUAUAUGAGGAGAUUGAAAGAAAUGUGAGGAAUUUUGUAUAGAGUUCAACGAAUCGUGCACGAAAAUUUUCUCUAGUGUGUUGGGACAAGUGCUGUCAACCAAGGCAAAAUGGGGGCCUAGGCUUUCGUAACUUAAGGGAGCAAAAUAAGUAUUUUAUCACGAAGCUGGGGUUUUAGUUUCUUGCUAAUCAAAAUGCUUUCUGGGUUAAAUUUUUACGCUCAAAGUACAAGUUGAAGGAGAGGUGUUCGCGAAGCAUUAAUCGUUCAAGUUCUUAUGUUUGGAGAUCUUUAUCAAACAUUUGGGACGAGCUUUGCCGUACUUUUUUGGCUUAUGAAAGGUUAAUGAAAUAUAAUCGAGCUCCUAAGUGUAAUGUUUGGGAUGUCAUUCGGAAGUAUCCAGGCCCUUAGAAACUUAGAAAAUUUCUUUGGCUUGAGUUCAAAGAACGAUUGCUCACUAUUGUUGAGCAUUACUAACGAAGACUGAUCUCUAUAUGAUGUGUGGUAUGGCGUCAAUGACUAGUUUACAUGCCAAAAGCAUCAACAAUUUGGAAAAUAAUUGUGCCUAAAGCAUCUCAAUCGAAUUUUUUCUCGAUAACCCUACCAUUGUGGCUUACCUCUAACCUAUCUAUUUCAAAGGGCUGGACACCCUUUUUGGGGUUAUCUAUUGGUUGCUAUGGAAGCAAAGGAAUCUAAUCUUGUUCCAAGACCAUAAUCUUAGUUCUAAGAAGAUCUUUAGAUAGGCUAUCAACUGGACAAAGUGAUCUACUGUAAUUUGAUUUGUCAAAUUAGGCUCAUCGUGUCACUUAAUAAGCUUAUUUUUAAGCGAUUUAAAUGUCUUUUUAGUAGUUUAGCUUAAUUUUAGUUAUUACAAUUAAAUAAGUGUGAAUGUCUCUUUUUACUCAUUUUGAGACCCAAAUUGGCCAAUUGUUCCAUUGGGGAGCUAACGAAUGAUUGGGUGUUGUAGGAAAGUGUUGGUGGCCAAAUUCAAGCGAGAACAUCACUAAAAGAAAGGGUAUUGCGAUAUCUAAGCCUGGGAAUCGCGGUACCCUCAACAGUGCUGAAAUAAAGAGAACGAAGACCACCUACAGUGGUAUCGUGAUAUCUACCUUGGGUAUCGCAAUAGCCAACACCCCAAGGAUCCCCCAUUUUGAAACUGUCGAUGAUAUCACGCCAUCCAUACUUAGGUAUCGCGAUAUCGAUAUUGUGAGGAGACAAAAAAAUGAAAUCGGGGCUAGUCUUUGUCCAACCAAAGCACUAAUCAAUGAAGAUCCAUUCAAUGGUAUUUUGGUCAACAAAUUUGGGUAAGAAUUUGCUGCUAAAUCAACUAAUUUUGGCUAAGGAGAGAGGAG
rnacentral:lncRNA from 1 species